rnacentral:rRNA from 1 species
AACGAACGCUGGCGGCAUGCCUAACACAUGCAAGUCGACCGAGAUCUUCGGGUCUAGUGGCGCACGGGUGCGUAACGCGUGGGAAUCUGCGCUUUGGUUCGGAAUCACAGUUGGAAACGACUGCUAAUACCGGAUGCUGACGAAAGUCCUAAGAUUUAUCGCCCGAGGAUGAGCCCGCGUAGGGUUAGCUAGUUGGUGUGGUAAAGGCGAACCAAUGCGACGAUCCUUAGCUGGUCUGAGAGGAUGAUCAGCCACGCUGGGACUGAGACACGGCACAGACACCUACGGGAGGAAGCAGUGGGGAAUAUUAGACAAUGGGCGAAAGCCUGAUCCAGCAAUGCCGCGUGGGUGAUGAAGGCCUUAGGGUUGUAAAGCUCUUUUACCCGGGAUGAUAAUGACAGUACCGGGAGAAUAAGCUCCGGCUAACUCCGUGCCAGCAGCCGCGGUAA